UACAGAGGGUGCAAGUGUUGUUCGGAAUUAUUGGGCGUAAAGGGCUCGUAGGCGGCCAACUAAGUCAGACGUGAAAUCCCUCGGCUUAACCGGGGAACUGCGUCUGAUACUGGAUGGCUUGAGGUUGGGAGAGGGAUGCGGAAUUCCAGGUGUAGCGGUGAAAUGCGUAGAUAUCUGGAGGAACACCGGUGGCGAAGGCGGCAUCCUGGACCAAUUCUGACGCUGAGGAGCGAAAGCCAGGGGAGCAAACGGG
rnacentral:rRNA from 1 species